UGACUGAUCAGUUGGCCAUAUAGAUC
rnacentral:piRNA from 1 species